UACGAGGGGGGCAAGCGUUGUCCGGAUUUAUUGGGCGUAAAGAGCUCGUAGGCGGUUGGGCAAGUCACGUGUGAAAUCUCCACGCUCAACGUGGAGGCGCCACGUGAGACUGCCCUGACUCGAGUCCGGUAGGGGAGCGUGGAAUUCCUGGUGUAGCGGUGAAAUGCGCAGAUAUCAGGAGGAACACCAGCGGCGAAGGCGGCGCUCUGGGCCGGUACUGACGCUGAGGAGCGAAAGCGUGGGUAGCAAACAGG
rnacentral:rRNA from 1 species